rnacentral:rRNA from 1 species
GGGGAUAACGCUGGCGGUAUGCCUAACACAUCCAAGUCGAACGAAAGUUUACCACCUUUAGUUUGGCGGACGGGUGAGUAAUACGUGAGAAUCACUUUAGGAAGGGAAUAACAAUUGGAAACGAUUGCUAAUGCCCUAUAUGCUUAGCAGUGAAACAGAUUUAUCUGCCUGAAGAUGAGCUCGCGCCUGAUUAGCUAGUUGGUAGAGUAAAAGCCUACCAAGGCAACGAUCAGUAGCUGGUUUGAGAGGACGAUCAGCCACACUGGGACUGAGACACGGCCCAGACUUCUACGGAAGGCAGCAGUGGGGAAUUUUCCGCAAUGAGCGAAAGCUUGACGGAGCAAUACCGCGUGAGGGAAGAAUGCCUGUGGGUUGUAAACCUCUUUUAGGGAAGAAAAUAUGACGGUACCUAAAGAAUAAGCAUCGGCUAACUCCGUGCCAGCAGCCGCGGUAAUACGGGGGAUGCAAGCGUUAUCCGGAAUUACUGGGCGUCAAAAGCGUCUGCAGGUGGCUUAACAAAGUCUGCUGUUACACACUAUUAGAGCUCAACUCUGAGUAAAGCAAGUGGAAACUGUUUAGGCUAGAAGUAUGGUAUGGGUACAAGGGAAACUCCCAGUUGUUAAGCCGGGUG